GACGAACGCUGGCGGCGUGCCUAAUACAUGCGAGUCGAGCGGACCAAACAGGAGCUUGCUCUUGUUUGGUUAGCGGCGGACGGGUGAGUAACACGUGGGUAACCUGCCCGUAAGACCGGGAUAACUCCGGGAAACCGGAGCUAAUACCGGAUAACACCGAAGACCGCAUGGUCUUUGGUUGAAAGGCGGCUUCGGCUGCCACUUACGGAUGGGCCCGCGGCGCAUUAGCUAGUUGGUGAGGUAACGGCUCACCAAGGCGACGAUGCGUAGCCGGCCUGAGAGGGUGACCGGCCACACUGGGACUGAGACACGGCCCAGACUCCUACGGGAGGCAGCAGUAGGGAAUCUUCCGCAAUGGACGAAAGUCUGACGGAGCGACGCCGCGUGAGCGAAGAAGGUCUUCGGAUCGUAAAGCUCUGUUGUUAGGGAAGAAGAAGCGCCGUUCGAACAGGGCGGCGCGGUGACGGUACCUAACGAGAAAGCCCCGGCUAACUACGUG
rnacentral:rRNA from 1 species